GGGCCCGCACAAGCGGUGGAGCAUGUGGUUUAAUUCGAUGCAACGCGAAGAACCUUACCAGCCCUUGACAUCCUCGGAACUUGGUAGAGAUACCUUGGUGCCUUCGGGAAUCGAGUGACAGGUGCUGCAUGGCUGUCGUCAGCUCGUGUCGUGAGAUGUUGGGUUAAGUCCUAUAACGAGCGCAACCCCUAUCGUUAGUUGCCAGCGAGUAAUGUCGGGAACUCUAACGAAACUGCCAGUGCAAACUGUGAGGAAGGUGGGGAUGACGUCAAAUCAUCACGGCCCUUACGUCCUGGGCUACACACGUGCUACAAUGGCCGGUACAGAGAGCAGCCACUUCGCAAGAAGGAGCGAAUCUAUUAAAACCGGUCUCAGUUCGGAUCGGAGUCUGCAACUCGACUGCGUGAAGCUGGAAUC
rnacentral:rRNA from 1 species